GAGAAAUGAGGACAUACCCUAUGUCUUACUGUUACAGUGAAGACUUCAGAUCCAACUCUGAUCUUGCUCUACAG